CGUGUAGGCGGUUUGUUAAGUCAUGUGUGAAAUCCCUCGGCUCAACCGGGGAACGACGCAUGAAACUGGCAAGCUAGAGUACCAAAGAGGGGGGUGGAAUUCCCGGCGUAGCGGUGAAAUGCGUAGAUAUCGGGAGGAACACCUGUGGCGAAGGCGGCCCCCUGGUUGGAUACUGACGCUGAGACGCGAAAGCGUGGGGAGAAC
rnacentral:rRNA from 1 species